UCUCCGUUGGUGAACCAGCGGAGGGAUCAUUACUGGAAUCGCAAGAUCCCACAACCCUGUGAACCUACCGAAACGUUGCCUCGGCGGGUGCCCGGCCCCCGCGCCGGGCGCUGCGCCCGCCGGCGGCCCCCUACUCUGUCUCUGCAGCGUGGCAUCUCAGAGUCCCAGAAAACAAGUCAAAACUUUCAACAACGGAUCUCUUGGCUCUG
rnacentral:misc_RNA from 1 species